rnacentral:rRNA from 1 species
GACGAACGCUGGCGGCGUGCUUAACACAUGCAAGUCGAACGGAAAGGCCCUGCUUUUGUGGGGUGCUCGAGUGGCGAACGGGUGAGUAACACGUGAGUAACCUUCCCUUGACUUUGGGAUAACUUCAGGAAACUGGGGCUAAUACCGGAUAGGAGCUCCUGCUGCAUGGUGGGGGUUGGAAAGUUUCGGCGGUUGGGGAUGGACUCGCGGCUUAUCAGCUUGUUGGUUGGGUAGUGGCUUACCAAGGCUUUGACGGGUAGCCGGCCUGAGAGGGUGACCGGCCACAUUGGGACUGAGAUACGGCCCAGACUCCUACGGGAGGCAGCAGUGGGGAAUAUUGCACAAUGGGCGGAAGCCUGAUGCAGCAACGCCGCGUGCGGGAUGACGGCCUUCGGGUUGUAAACCGCUUUCGCCUGUGACGAAGCGUGAGUGACGGUAAUGGGUAAAGAAGCACCGGCUAACUACGUG